rnacentral:rRNA from 1 species
AUUGAACGCUGGCGGCAUGCCUUACACAUGCAAGUCGAACGGCAGCACGGGUGCUUGCACCUGGUGGCGAGUGGCGAACGGGUGAGUAAUACAUCGGAACAUGUCCUGUAGUGGGGGAUAGCCCGGCGAAAGCCGGAUUAAUACCGCAUACGAUCUACGGAUGAAAGCGGGGGACCUUCGGGCCUCGCGCUAUCGGGUUGGCCGAUGGCUGAUUAGCUAGUUGGUGGGGUAAAGGCCUACCAAGGCGACGAUCAGUAACGGGUCUGAGAGGACGACCAGCCAAACUGGGACUGGGACACGGCCCAGACUCCUACGGGAGGCAGCAGUGGGGAAUUUUGGACAAUGGGCGAAAGCCUGAUCCAGCAAUGCCGCGUGUGUGAAGAAGGCCUUCGGGUUGUAAAGCACUUUUGUCCGGAAAGAAAUCCUUGGCCCUAAUACGGUCGGGGGGAUGACGGUACCGGAAGAAUAAGCACCGGCUAACUACGUG